AUUUUUUUUAGUUGCCUUCCUUCCAAGGGAAGAAAAGAUUUAUUGCAGCUGGGGAUGGAAGGUGUGUAGACCCAGCAGGAGAGACAGGUGUGGGCAUGAGCAGGGUGCCAAGGUGCCAGCUGCUGUUGACACCUUAAGGUGAAGAAUAGUCUGCUAGGAGAUGGACUUGUCUCUCUCUGUGUCCCCUUUAAUCCCCUCUCUUCAGCUCCCUGCUCUGCUUUCCUGGAGAGUAUUUGUCUGACACUACUUUAGGCUGUUUGUGAUGGGAGUUCUUCCUGCAACCUUAUUUUUAUUGAGCGUCUGACACUCUGAAUGAACCAGACCUUGGUUCUGUCUCUUCCUCCCUCAUCACCAUGUGAAAUCUUGCUCUGUCUGCAUCUCUAAAAUGCACAUACACAUAGUUUUUUUUCCCCUUAUUUCCCCCUCCUAUUUCUUCCUUUCUGCCUUAAACAUGUACAUGCAUCCGUCUCAUCUAUUUGUGUUACAUUGCCUUCCAUUUUGAUAACGUGUUGCUCGGCAAAAGCAACGUUUUCAUUGUUGGGGAAAAAUCGGUAUCUGUUCUCCCCAGGGAGUGACUCAUUUUUCCUAGUUUUGUCUUUUCACCUAUUUAUUUUAUCAGGCUGACUCUACAGCUUCCCAUCAUUGUUUUUUUCCCCUCUGCCUUUUGUUCUCCCCUCUCAUCUCCUGUUUCUCCAGAUUUUUUAUUUUAUUUUCUUCUCCCACUCUCUGCUUCCAUUUGUUUUCACUUCUCCAGCCUCCCUCUGUACUCGCAUGUGUGGCAAAAAUCCAGCCUUGGGGCUACAUUGCCUCUUUCAUGUGAGGACCAGUGGUGACAUUAAAGGCCUGUAACGUUGUCUGUCGGUUUGCAUCAGCCCAGCUCUAACUGUCUGCGCCCAGGACCCAAGCGUGCACUCAGCUUUCCACUCACUCACUGCCAAGCUCAAUCGUCGUUUGGUAGGAAACAACAUGCCUGCGCCCGCUGGCUGUAAUUGUGCACAUGUACAUUGCACUUGCAGAUUUGUUAAGCCCACCCCACCCCACACCCAAGCACUUUGAGGCAGAUCAGUGUUUAAAGGCUUAAAUAUUGUGGAAGCUUGGUUAAUGACAGUUGAGUCAGCGACAGCGCUUCCCACUUUUUUUUUUCUUCUUCUUCAUAUUCCUCUCCUCCCUUUUUGACACUCUGACCUAGUUGUUGUAGCUCUUCAAAAUCUUAAAAUCCUUCUGUUUAAAUACUCUGAAAGGUACAUGACUUGGCAGACAAAACAGAUCAAAUGGCUGAUCUGUGGGGCAGCCAGACCAAACAGAAGCAUAGCUAAAGUGCAGUUUUUCUUAUGAUCUACAGAUAGAGGAGAGGGUAGGUGAGGGGGAGCCCUUUCCUUUUUUGAAAUUUAUUUUUUGUUGUUGUCUGUCCUUCAAGAUAAGCAAUCUGGAAGUACAUCCCAUAGCAGGAGAGUUUUUAAGUGUGUCUGCAUCGUGGCAGGCCUGUUUAGUACAUACAGCUACUCUAUAAAGAACAGUCCGAGUUAUGACUAUCUAACACUUACACAAUGCGUCCUUGGAUACUUAGUCCAGAAUAAUUCCUGUUCUGGCAGAGGACCAUGCAUAUCUAUACAGAUAUUUAACACAUUUGUUUUUGUAUGCCUAAUUUGUUUCGAACAAGUGUAGGCGUUUAAAGUGGUAAGAUUUAAAUACUGGAGGAAAAAAAGGGCCCAUCAGACUGCAAAGCUGAUGAAGAGCCGGCACAAAGACACAAUAGCAGCUGGGAUGUCUGUGUGUUGUCACACCCAGGGACAGCGACUGAGUGGCUGUUGGACUGGAACUUAAGAUGGUAGCUACAAGCCCCAGCAGGCCCAGCGCCUGGGGAUAAAAGAAGCUGACAUACAGACACACACACAUGCAUAUAAUCUGUGAUGUAACCUGUUUGUCUUCCUGUAUGUAUAACUCAUAUCCUUCCCAAGCUUUUUCUGCACACAGACUAUAGGCACGCACCUUACUUAAUUUCAGCGUUAGAUUGAAAUGCUUCAUUAAAGCUUGUAUUGCUAUAAUGGCAGGUGAAUAUAGCUGUCAUAGCAGGGUGACUACUAAUGUGCAUUGGCACAAAUUUUGAGUUUAGUAAAAAAUGUGGAGUGCAGGAAAAAGCAGGGCAAAGCACCAGCCUUACAGAUCAUUUGUUAACUUAUGGAUUGACUAAAUGUUUCAGUGGUUUCUUGUAGUUGUGGUACACAAUACAUAGUAGUAGUCUUCCUGUCUUGUUGUAUACUGUCUGACACUCAUUAGAGAGGAGGUAAGGGAAGUUAAUUGUCAUUUUUAAAGCUUAACGUUCUCAUUUGGUGGAUUAAAAGGCGUUUAAAAUACGUGCUCAAACGUCUGUAUUGCUUAUAUGAAAGAGCAGACUGCAUUUGUUAUGGUUGCGCUUACCUAUUGAACCAGUAACUGGUUAUGACAAGAUCCAUAAAGCCAGGAGUUAUUGCACUGAUUUUUAAUUUAAUUGCAUCAUAUUUUAUUUUGUAUUUUCCUCGGAAUAUUUAUUGUAAAUAUUUUAUGUCGGCUUCAUCUUUUGAGCCAGAUCAAAAGAUAAAGCUGACUUGCUUGCCUUGCUUUAAGAAAGUGUUGAGCUUGAGUUUGCUCUGUGGACACCUGAAGAGAUUAUGGAUGGAUCUGUCUUUUUGUUUUCCUCCCUUAACUGCCCCCCCCCUCCCAUAUUGUUUCAUGGAAAUGGAUAUGAAUAAAACAUACUUAGUCUUCCAUCUUUUAUUCAAAAUUAUAAGGAAAAUGUGUCUAUUUCUGUACUUAUUUCAAUAAGGGUCCUAUAACACUGGAUAUUUGGAGACAUCCGGUUUCUGAAAUCAUGACCAGGUUACUCAGAAAUUCACCAGCCAACCCUCCCACCCCACAGAGGGAAGCACACACCUACAUGCAUUGAGAAGGGUCAUCAUCGUCUAUAAUGGCAUCCAUUUUGCCGACUCUGUAAUAUAAGCUCGGUGCAUACCACUUUUGCCGUGGGAUGCAGUUUGCUACAAAUAAAAUCAUUUCCACAUGAAAGUGCAGAUAAUGUUUAAAUGUUUUUUUGAAUAACCAGGUUGUGAUUUUAGGAAACAGACUUCAUUUUUUAUUUUUAAUGAAAGAAAACUGUUCCUACACUAAGUUCCUAUAUGAAACCGCUUACUAGGCGAAUUUAGCAAAUGGAAAAUGUGCCAAUGUGAUUUAGAAGUGAAAUUCCUCUUUUUAAAUAAACAUUUUUGUUUCUGUUUGACAUUCUCAGUGCCGCACUUCUUGCAGGCUUCUGCUCCCAUCUGUUCUUUGCCAAAAAUCAGAAGUCUCAGUUGAUGUUAGGCUUUGCCCAAGGUUUACAGUUAAAAUGUGCAUCUGUCUGAGACUUUCUCUGUGCCGUCACUUGGCAGCGUUUACGUGAUGGAAUGAUCUUUGAAUAUGCCAAUCUUCCACUGCACGACCUUCAGGUAAACCAGCUUUUUGUCGGCUUCCUGUAGGUUCUGAUCGGUUUGUAGGAAAGAGUUGAAGCAUGGGUAAAUUGUAUAGUCAGGGGAAAAACAUCUGAGGAAGAGAUCGGUUCACAAAGACGACGUAGGGGGUAUUACAAAUUAUCCAAAUAAUCCUCCCUUCCAUCCUCGCCAUUGGUUGUGUGCACUGUGGUCUCCUUAGUUACAGGGGUGGGGACAGGAAGCACAGCGCGUGUUAUCUCCUCCAGUCACAUUGACAGUCGGAGCCUUUCCUUCCCCUCACUUCCUCUUCUGACAGCUGGACCUUUCCUUGAAUUGUUGCGUGACAAAAGGGGGCAGCUGUGUGCACACACAGCAAAAAUAUAUUAUGAAAUGAACGGCGGCUCACCAUCUAAGUGGUUGUGUAUUUUUAAGCUCAAAGUUAUUCUGCCAGACACUGGGUUGCGUCUUUGAGGCAUAGCGUUGUAUCUGGCCACUGACAGGAAAUGAUACUUUUCUUGAACUCCCUCCCGCCCCUUCCAGGUUGUGGAAAGAGGAAAAGGAUACCUCCUUUUUUCACCGUCCAGAAGGCGAGCGUCAACACAAAACGGGCCAAGACACACACACACACACACACACACACACACACACACCCACACACACACACACACACACACACACACACCACAUACCACAUCAGCAAGCUUCCUGACUCUUCAUCCUGUUAUUCUUCCCAUUCCUUAUCUCAUACUCUCGCAUCUUGUGGAGCUCAAAGAAUGCAUCCUGUGCUUCACUUUACAUAGCAUCCUCUGCAUUGUUGUGAGGUGUGUGUGUGUGUGUGUGUGUGUGUCUGUCUCAAAUGUAAGUCCUGAUUUGUAAGCAUAAUGCCUGGGGCGUUGGCGGAUGAAAUGCCCGUUUGCGUCUACAUUGACUGAAACAUUAAAAGUUGAGUUAAAUGGGCAACAAGCAAAGUAAGAGAAGGGUUCUUGUGUGUCACCGCACAGCACAGUCAGUCUUUUGUCUGCCAGGUGGAGAAAUGAGUUCCCGCAGGAUGCAGAAGAACAAUCUAGUUUUUCUGUGUGCUUGGGUUAAUACUAAUUAACCCACAAGUUUUAACAGUUCCCAUCAUAACUAAGCAUAGUUUGUAGGGUCUAUGUAAGGGAAGCAGAUGCGCUUUCUCCUUGUGCCGCUGCUUUUUUGGGGACAAAGUAUUUCCUCUCAAAUUUGUGAAACCAUUUUCAGCUCAUGAGGCUUCUCUCUUAAAGCCAGCCUGUUAAAUGACUUUUGCUUUGGCUUCCAAUUUAACGCUACAUAUCGUUCCCUCUUUAGAUGGCAAAAGCAGCAGUAAAAUAGCCUUUGCCUGGUAUUUUAGAAGCAGUCUGAGUCUGCAUUUGUGUGCAUUAGGUUGUCUUUUUUUUUUUCUUCUUUUUUUCUUUUUCUAGCUGAGCUAGCACGUUGGGCUACUUUUAAAGGUUAACUGAGGAGAGUAUUAGCACCAAACUUUUUUUUUUUUCCCAAAACUGCUGAAUAAUUAGCAAUGAGAACGAGGUUUAAGCUUUCUGUGAAGUACCGCGCUCUCCGGUGCUUCCUGUAAGGGAAUUGUAUCUGUGUGAGUGUGUGAAGGAAAGUAAACAGUUUCCACAGCUUUCCACCUUGCUCACUCCCCUUGGGGUGCCUCCCUAAAGUGUAAAUGUGUGAGUGCGAUUGCACUUAUACGUUUCGACCGAUCAGAAGUCCCGCCACGCAGGGAGUAAUGAACUUUGGCCCCUCGCGGGCAGCUAUUAAGAGUAAACCAUUAUGGUUCGGUAUUGAGCUGCCCUCCCCUGCCUCACUCUGUAUGGUAGACCCCACGGAGUGCACAAAACUGGCACACCUCUGGCUCAUUGAGCUGCCAGCUUGCCCCCCACCAACAGACAGCCCCAUAAAGCAGUUCCACAUCAUCAAAUGUGAUGAUCCCCUUUUCUAAUUUUAGACUGAAGUCCUAAUGGCUCUGCAGAUACUGUGUGAAACAGUAAUUUCAGCCUUGAGCUGAGGAAAGUGAGGAGGAUAGGGCUUUGCAGUGUCUCAUCUGGGAAACAUGUAAAUUAUUCACCUUGUUAUUUUGGCCACAUAUGAUUGAUUGGAUAUCAGACAUCUUUUCUUUUUUUUCUUUUUUUUCAAAUUUGUCAUUAAAUAAUGAUUUUAUUUCAUUAUUAGGCUACGGUAUGCUAUCAUUUCUGUUUGCGUGUUUCCCCCCCAAAAAACUACCACAUAUGGUGCCUGUUUGGGCUAUUUUGUUUAGAAUUGGGUUUUAAAUGUGCUCACUAUUUAUUUGAUUUACACUGAAUCAUUACUGUAGGUUAAUCAAACCUUUA